AAUUCCCGGCGUGCCCCGGGGGACAACGGGCAGACUCCAAGCCCCGGCGGCCCCCGCGCGGCCUGAGGGCGCGGCCGCCAUGACGGGCCGCCAUGAGGACUCGGCCCGGCUCCUGCGGUCCUCCCAGCGCCGCCUCCCAGACCCCGCCCGCAACCACAGCUCCGCCAGCUUUACAACCCCGUGACUUUUAGUUUCCGUAACUGUCGCAGACCAGUGUUCGGUAGCGAAGAGCCUAACGUAGGGAACUGCAGAAUGACCAAAUGCCUCUAAGACUUAAAAGGACCACACGCCUGUGGUGAUCAGCAGCAUGAGCUGAUGAUGACCAGACCACAGUCUCGUCGUACCUACAGGGAAAAAUCGGGUUUAAGAAGUCAAAAUGAGUCUUACGAGCUGUGGAGGGAUCCUGCCGGCCGCCAGGGUGUCGAUUUCUCAAGGAAAGAGGUGUUCGGGAGCAGAGCAGGGCUUCUCCCAAAGCAAUGACAGUGACCUGCCCUGUCGUCUCCUGCACCAGCACGUUUUCAUUUGAAAAGACCAAAUCCUGCUUGCCAGAUACAAACACACCAAGUAGAUCGAGGAGCACAGCUGAGAGCUCUGCAGGAUGCAGUGAGAGAACCUUGGGAUGGCAGCAAUUUUUGUAGUAACCAGGAACCACAAAAAGGGAUUCAGGCCGUUCAGGCCCAAGGAAAAUGCUGCUGUCACGAGAGAAGGCAGGCUGGGAUCACAUCACCAUCACGAGCUGGUGAUGACCAAGGACAACAAGCAAGCAGCUACUGAAAGACAUUCCCCUGGACUUUCACCCCGGUUUCUCUCGACAAAGGCUCUGGAGGGCACCCCAGGCUGAGCCAGAGGACACUGGACAAGGCAAGAGCUGGGAAGUCACUGUGCAAUCCAGAGGUCACUGAGCAGCAGUGCCCAGGCACCAGGCACUGGGUACAGCUGUAUUUCAGGUCAUGUCUUAGAAGUGAAAAUGCACCAUGGAAUCAAAUUUUAAGAAGUGUUUGUUACCUUCAUUGUUUUUGGAUCCAGUUUAGACCAGUGCGUAGGCGUAGAGAUCUCCUUAGCUUCCCCAUCAUCCUUUUCCUCUUCAUCCUGACAAAUAAAAUUUAGAAAUUAUCAUUCAGAAAGCUUGAAAGCAUCUCAGUUAUUUUUUAAAUUCUGUUGCUGAUCUGUGCAAGGUCACAACUGUUUCAGACAGUCUUCUCCUAAAGUUAUUAUUUCGACAAGUUCACACACACAUUCUACCACUUUAUAAAUGAUCACAGUGCCACUCAGCCAAUACAAGCCAGAUCUGUGGAACAUAAAAGGGUGAUAAGCAACACCACAAAGAAUAUUGGGGUUACACAGACACUGCUGGUCUCCAGUAACCACACAGUGUGUGAUCUUCCCCCAGCUUUUUUAAUCCCCCAAAUUACUCUUGGUUCAGUCAGACCUUCCCUUAUUCCAAGAUGUUGAUCAGCCACAUGGCCUGAAAUUCAGAUGUUUCAGACUAGUGCUUGUUCAGUUUGAAAUAUCACAAUUAGAACUGGCCACAAGAGAGAAUUUAGAAAUUUUAGAAAA